rnacentral:rRNA from 1 species
UGAAGGGCCGCGGUAUUUUGACCGUGCAAAGGUAGCAUAAUCAUUAGUUCUUUAAUUGUGAUCUGGAAUGAAUGGCUUGACGAGACACGAUCUGUCUUAGAUUGAAUGUUUUAUUGAAUUUGGUUUUUGAGUUAAAAUUCUUAAAUGUUUUUAUGGGACGAGAAGACCCUAUAGAGUUUGACAUGUUGAUUUAUUUAUUUAUUUGUUGUUUGUUUUGGUUUUGGUAAGUAGGUUUUUUGUUUUGUUGGGGUGAUGAGAGGAAUAUAAUUUAACUCCUCUUGGUUUUGUUUAUAUUGAUUUAUAGUUAUUUGAUCCAUUUAUUUUGAUUAUAAGAUUAAAUUACCU